rnacentral:rRNA from 1 species
GGAGGAAAAGAAACCAACAGGGAUUGCCUCAGUAGCGGCGAGUGAAGCGGCAAAAGCUCAAAUUUGAAAUCUGGCGUCUUUGGCGUCCGAGUUGUAAUUUGAAGAAGGUAUCUUUGGGCCCGGCUCUUGUCUAUGUUCCUUGGAACAGGACGUCACAGAGGGUGAGAAUCCCGUGCGAUGAGAUGACCCGGGUCUGUGUAAAGUUCCUUCGACGAGUCGAGUUGUUUGGGAAUGCAGCUCUAAGUGGGUGGUAAAUUCCAUCUAAAGCUAAAUAUUGGCGAGAGACCGAUAGCGAACAAGUACAGUGAUGGAAAGAUGAAAAGAACUUUGAAAAGAGAGUGAAAAAGUACGUGAAAUUGUUGAAAGGGAAGGGCUUGAGAUCAGACUUGGUAUUUUGCAUGUUGCUCUCUCGGGGGCGGCCGCUGCGGUUUACCGGGCCAGCAUCGGUUUGGAGCGGCAGGAUAAUGGCGGAGGAAUGUGGCACGGCUUCUGCUGUGUGUUAUAGCCUCUGACGAUACUGCCAGCCUAGACCGAGGACUGCGGUUUUUAACCUAGGAUG